rnacentral:rRNA from 1 species
UAGGUGCGUAAUGUUCCCUACUAGAAAGGAGAGGGCAAGGCUGGUGCCAGCCGCCGCGGUAAAACCAGCUCUUCAAGUGGUCGGGAUAAUUAUUGGGCUUAAAGUGUCCGUAGCUGGUAAGGUAAGUUCCUGGUAAAAUUGGGCAGCUUAACUGUCCUUAUGCUAGGAAUACUGCUUUACUAGAGGGCGGGAGAGGUCUGAGGUACUACAGGGGUAGGAGUGAAAUCUUAUAAUCCUUGUAGGACCACCAGUGGCGAAGGCGUCAGACUGGAACGCGCCUGACGGUGAGGGACGAAAGCCAGGGGAGCGAACCGGAUUAGAUACCCGGGUAGUCCUGGCCGUAAACGAUGCACACUAGAUGAUGGUGCGGCCAUGAGCCGUAUCAGUGUCGUAGGGAACCGUUAAGUGUGCCGCCUGGGAAGUACGGUCGCAAGGCUUAAACUUAAAGGAAUUGGCGGGGAGCACCACAAGGGGUGANAGCUGCGGUUCAAUUGGACUCAACGCCGGGCAACUUACCAGGGGAGACAGCAGAAUGAAGGUCAGGUUGACGACCUUACCUAACAAGCUGAGAGGAGGUGCAUGGCCGUCGCCAGUUCGUGCUGUGAGGUAUCCUGUUAAGUCAGGCAACGAACGAGACCCGUGCCUUUAUUUGCCAUCAAGAAGUCACGACUUCGUUGGGAACGAUAAAGGGACUGCCGUCGAUAAGACGGAGGAAGGAGCGGGCAAAGGCAGGUCAGUAUGCCCCGAAACCCCUGGGCUACACGCGGGCUGCAAUGGUGCGAACAAUGGGCUGUGACUCCGACAGGAGAAACCAAUCCCGAAAUCGCAUCUCAGUUGGGAUUGUCAACUGUAACCCGUUGACAUGAACGUGGAAUCCCUAGUAA